GAUGAACGCUGGCGGCGUGCCUAAUACAUGCAAGUCGAGCGAAUGGAUUAAGAGCUUGCUCUUAUGAAGUUAGCGGCGGACGGGUGAGUAACACGUGGGUAACCUGCCCAUAAGACUGGGAUAACUCCGGGAAACCGGGGCUAAUACCGGAUAACAUUUUGAACCGCAUGGUUCGAAAUUGAAAGGCGGCUUCGGCUGUCACUUAUGGAUGGACCCGGGUCGCAUUAGCUAGUUGGUGAGGUAACGGCUAACCAAGGCAACGAUGCGUAGCCGACCUGAGAGGGGGAUCGGCCACACUGGGACUGAGACACGGCCCAGACUCCUACGGGGGGCAGCAGUAGGGAAUCUUCCGCAAUGGACGAAAGUCUGACGGAGCAACGCCGCGUGAGUGAUGAAGGCUUUCGGGUCGUAAAACUCUGUUGUUAGGGAAGAACAAGUGCUAGUUGAAUAAGCUGGCACCUUGACGGUACCUAACCAGAAAGCCACGGCUAACUACGUGCCAGCAGCCGCCGUAA
rnacentral:rRNA from 1 species